UCAGCUCGUGUCGUGAGAUGUUGGGUUAAGUCCCGCAACGAGCGCAACCCCUAUUGUUAGUUGCCAUCAUUCAGUUGGGCACUCUAGCGAGACUGCCGGUAAUAAACCGGAGGAAGGUGGGGAUGACGUCAAAUCAUCAUGCCCCUUAUGACCUGGGCUACACACGUGCUACAAUGGUUGGUACAACGAGUUGCGAGUCGGUGACGGCGAGCUAAUCUCUUAAAGCCAAUCUCAGUUCGGAUUGUAGGCUGCAACUCGCCUACAUGAAGUCGGAAUCGCUAGUAAUCGCGGAUCAGCACGCCGCGGUGAAUACGUUCCCGGGCCUU
rnacentral:rRNA from 1 species